rnacentral:rRNA from 1 species
AUUGAACGCUGGCGGCAUGCCUUACACAUGCAAGUCGAACGGCAGCACGGGAGGCAAUCCUGGUGGCGAGUGGCGAACGGGUGAGUAAUAUAUCGGAACGUGCCCAGUCGUGGGGGAUAACGUAGCGAAAGCUACGCUAAUACCGCAUACGAUCUAUGGAUGAAAGCGGGGGAUCGCAAGACCUCGCGCGAUUGGAGCGGCCGAUAUCAGAUUAGGUAGUUGGUGAGGUAAAGGCUCACCAAGCCGACGAUCUGUAGCUGGUCUGAGAGGACGACCAGCCACACUGGGACUGAGACACGGCCCAGACUCCUACGGGAGGCAGCAGUGGGGAAUUUUGGACAAUGGGCGCAAGCCUGAUCCAGCAAUGCCGCGUGCAGGAUGAAGGCCU